AUUGAACGCUGGCGGCAUGCCUUACACAUGCAAGUCGAACGGUAACAGGUCUUCGGAUGCUGACGAGUGGCGAACGGGUGAGUAAUGCAUCGGAACGUGCCCAGUAGAGGGGGAUAGCCCGGCGAAAGCCGGAUUAAUACCGCAUACGACCUGAGGGUGAAAGGGGGGGAUCGCAAGACCUCUCGCUAUUGGAGCGGCCGAUGUCAGAUUAGCUAGUUGGUGGGGUAAAGGCCUACCAAGGCAACGAUCUGUAGUUGGUCUGAGAGGACGACCAGCGACACUGGGACUGCGACACGGCCCAGACUCCUACGGGAGGCAGCAGUGGGGAAGUUUGGACAAUGGGCGCAAGCCUGAUCCAGCAAUGCCGCGUGCAGGAAGAAGGCCUUCGGGUUGUAAACUGCUUUUGUCAGGGAAGAAAUCUUCUGGGUUAAUACCUCGGGAGGAUGACGGUACCUGAAGAAUAAGCACCGGCUAACUACGUGCCAGCAGCCGCCGUAACAC
rnacentral:rRNA from 1 species